GGGGGCAACUCCUCGGUUGAGUGGCGGACGGGUGAGUAACACGUGGGUAACCUGCCCGGAAGUGGGGAAUACCUCGGGGAAACUCGAGCUAAUACCGCAUAACAUCUUCGGGGCGAGAGUCCUGUUGAUCAAAGCGGGGUCGCAAGAUCUCGCGCUACCGGAUGGGCCCGCGCCCGAUUAGCUAGUUGGUGAGGUAACGGCUCACCAAGGCUUCGAUCGGUAGCCGGCCUGAGAGGGCGAUCGGCCACACCGGAACUGAGACACGGUCCGGACUCCUACGGGAGGCAGCAGUGGGGAAUCUUGCGCAAUGGGCGAAAGCCUGACGCAGCAACGCCGCGUGGAGGAUGAAGGCCCUUGGGUUGUAAACUCCUGUCGGCUGGGAAGAAAUCGCGCGGGGUUAAUACCUCCGUGCGUUGACUGUACCAGCAAAGGAAGCCCCGGCUAACUCUGUGCCAGCAGCCGCGGUAAUACAGAGGGGGCUAGCGUUAUUCGGAAUUAUUGGGCGUAAAGGGCGCGUAGGCGGCCACGCGUGUCUUUCGUGAAAUCCCUCGGCUUAACUGAGGACGUGCGGAAGAAACUGCGAGGCUUGAGUCCGGGAGAGGGGGGUGGAAUUCCCAGUGUAGCGGUGAAAUGCGUAGAUAUUGGGAGGAACACCGGUGGCGAAGGCGGCCCCCUGGACCGGUACUGACGCUGAGGCGCGAAAGCGUGGGUAGCAAACGGGAUUAGAUACCCCGGUAGUCCACGCCGUAAACGAUGGGCACUUGGUGUCGCGGGUAUCGACCCCUGCGGUGCCGAAGCUAACGCA
rnacentral:rRNA from 1 species